UGACCAAUAGAGCAAUCACUUAGCACAUAUUGGAAGGAUACAGCAAAGAUUAUUAUAGCCCCUGUGCAAGGCUGACAUGAAAAUCUGUGAAGCAUUACAUAGUUUU